ensembl:lncRNA
CAGAGUGCAGCAGGGGCCUGUGCUUAGGCGGCCCGGUGGCGGGCUUCGGUGCUCUGGAGCGACACACCUCCCCUGGAGAGGGACAGGCUCUCUGCCUGCCGGCGGUUGUCCGGAACGGCUUUCACCUGCGGACCAGAGAGGGAAGGCGUGUUUGUUUUGAAGGAGGAAGUUAUGAAGUGCGUCGAAUUGGCUAACUGAACAAUGGCGGCUAUGUCGUGGGUAAACACAACAACCGGUUCUUUGUGCAGAGGGCUGGUUGCUAGCAGAGGGGAGCCAUAGCGUACCUGAGAGUCGUGGAGCUGGUUGUGGAACCUCGAGAUCAAGUCGUUCAACUCGUCAUUCAGCUCUGAGGUUAUCCCAGAACGCCCGAGGAGUGGCGUCUCCCUCUCACCGGUGUCGUCCAUGACGGCGAUGGCCUGCUCUGCGGUGUGCUGCAUGGCCAGCAGGGCGGCCUGUCUGCCCUGUAGCGCGCGCAGCUGCUCCUGCUGCUCCAACAUCUUCUUCAGGAGCUCAUGCUGCUUGCGCAGGUUCUCCAGCUCUUCCUUCUGGUCCCCCUGUGCCGGUACCGGCCCGCUGCCGCUCUGCAGGAGUAGCGGAGCCACGGAUCAAUGAGGCUGCACUGCUUUCACACCCAACCAAAAAGGCAUGUGGCUCGCUGUGUCCGUUUCUAUACUCGGGUCUGUUUCAUGGUAUGUGUGCAUGUCAUUUGUCUUGUGCCGUUUGUUGCCAUCAAUAAAUGUAGGACAUUUCUGCACCUACUAAAUGUUUGAAGAACCAUUAGCACACUGACGGAAAUUAUUGGCAGAGCUGUCACUUUUCGUUCCUGAUCAAACGCUGUAAAAGUUAGGCAGCCUGGAGGGUGUGACGUGGGAACAAGCUUCCCCAUGUUGUCAUGGAUACAAUCUAUGUGACCUCUUAAACCACUGUUGCUUGUUAAGCUAAUGCACAGCCGAUUGGAAAUGACUGAAACGACUGUGUGGGUUCACUUACAGAGGUGGAUUGAAAGUGGAUCACUUGUUCCCCAUGAGUACCAGAUCAAUAUUGUAAAUAAGAAACUGUUCUUAAUGUUUCAGCUGGAAAAAUAAAG